rnacentral:rRNA from 1 species
UGGGGAUGACGUCAAGUCAGCAUGGCCUUUAUGUCCAGGGCUACACACACGCUACAAUGGUCGGUACAAUGGGAUGCCAAGCCGCGAGGCGGAGCAAAUACCCUACAAAGCCGGCCUCAGUUCGGAUUGGAGGCUGCAACUCGCCUCCAUGAAGUCGGAGUUGCUAGUAACCGCAGGUCAGCUAUACCUGCGGUGAAUACGUUCCCGGGUCCUU